GGUCUGUGAUGCCCUUAGAUGUCGUGGGCCGCACGCGCGCUACACUGACAGAGCCAGCGAGUUUUUUCCUUGGCCGGAAGGUCUGGGUAAUCUUGUGAAACUCUGUCGUGCUGGGGAUAGAGCAUUGCAAUUCUUGCUCUUCAACGAGGAAUUCCUAGUAAGCGCAAGUCAUCAGCUUGCGUUGAUUACGUCCCUGCCCUUUGUAC
rnacentral:rRNA from 1 species